rnacentral:rRNA from 1 species
AUUGAACGCUGGCGGCAUGCCUUACACAUGCAAGUCGAACGGCAGCACGGGUGCUUGCACCUGGUGGCGAGUGGCGAACGGGUGAGUAAUACAUCGGAACGUACCUUAUCGUGGGGGAUAACGCAGCGAAAGCUGUGCUAAUACCGCAUACGCCCUGAGGGGGAAAGCGGGGGAUCGAAAGACCUCGCGCGAUUAGAGCGGCCGAUGCCUGAUUAGCUUGUUGGUGGGGUAAAAGCCCACCAAGGCGAGGAUCAGUAGCGGGUCUGAGAGGACGACCAGCCACCCUGGGACUUGGGCCCGGCCCAGACUCCUACGGGAGGCAGCAAUGGGGAUUUUUGGCAAAUGGCGUCAACCCUGUUCCAGCAAUGCCGCGUGAGUGAAGAUGGCCUUCGGGUUGUAAAGCUCUUUUGUCAGGGAAGAAACACCAGCUCUAACACAGUCCGGGAAUGACGGUACCUGAAGAAUAAGCACCGGCUAACUACGUGCCAGCAGCCGCCGUAA